rnacentral:rRNA from 1 species
AGCGAACGUUUGCGGCGGGCUUAACACAUGCAAGUCGAACGAGAAUCCCUUCGGGGAGGAAAGUGGCGCACGGGUGCGUAACACGUGGAUAACCAACCCAUUGGUUUGGGACAACACCGGGAAACUGGUGCUAAUACCAGAUGUGUCGCAGCUGUCUUCAGGCGGUUGCGAGAAAGGCCCGCAAGGGUCGCCAACGGACGGGUCCGCGUCCCAUCAGCUAGUUGGUGAGGUAAUUGCUCACCAAGGCAAAGACGGGUAGCUGGUCUGAGAGGAUGAUCAGCCACACUGGAACUGAGACACGGUCCAGACUCCUACGGGAGGCAGCAGUGGGGAAUAUUGCGCAAUGGGCGAAAGCCUGACGCAGCCACGCCGCGUGAGCGAUGAAGGUCUUCGGAUCGUAAAGCUCUGUGGGGGAGAAGAAGAAGACCGGUGAAGAGCCGGCCC